GUUGACACAAUAGAAUCUUUAGUUCUCUCAUUUUUCUGCAACCGCUCUAGUUUUCUCUCUGUUCAUUCCCUUUUCAAUGAUUUGCUUCAUGUUUCUCUUUUUACCCUUUCUCUGUUAUCGUUGUUGUUAUGUUCGUGAGAUCUCCACUUCUCAUUAUUUAUUUUUCUUAUACAUGUUUGUAUCGUUUAACAUGAUUCUCCAUUGAUUCACAAAUUCAGAGGUUUUACUUUCCAAAUUUUUGCAAUUUUGUUUGUAUUUGUAUUAAGUUAUUAGAUCUAAGGGCUGUUGAUUCCUUUUAUUUAUUUAUAAUGUUUGAAUGUAAUAUGAACUUUUUGUUUUUGUUAGUUCUAGAACUCCAUCGCUUAUUGCUUAACUUCCAGUUUUUUCCUUUUAUUUUUUUGUUUUCUUUUUAUUUGUUGGGUUGCGACUAGUUUGCAUAUUGUUUUUAAAGUUUUAGUGAAUGAUGAUAUCUGCACUGGGCUCUGAGCAGUUUUCUACUGCAUUUUGAUGCAUACGUGUGGCCUAGAAAACCAUGUCUGACACCUCCAAAUUUGUAUUCUUUGAAAUGAAACUAAACAAAGAAGUGCUUAUACACGGUUUAUCGAUAUUUUCAUCAGUUUUUUCCCUCUCAAUAGUAAAACUUUGCUCAAACUCUCCUUUAUAAUUUUGCUGCCCAAUGAUGCACAACUAUACUGUUGAGUGGCGACUCGGUUUUGUUCAUAGCUGGACCUGCACCCUUCUAUCUUUCUUUCCCUCUCUCUGUGUGUAUGUGGGUGUGUGUGUUUGUGUGUGACUCUCUCUCUCUCUCUCUAUAUUUGAUGGUGCAAGAAGGCUGUGAAUGAAACUAAUGUUACUGUCCACAUAUGAUCCUUUAAGCUAUGAGAUCUGAGGGCUUUGAAUUUUUUAAGGCAUUGCAAGUUGUUUUCCCACUUGUUUACAACUCAAUGUUUAUGUACUUUGGUUUCUUUUCUCAUGUAUAUAAUUGAAUGAGGAAUUCCUUUUGUACAUUUCUGACUGCGCUCUAAUUAUUAUGCUUAAAUCUGUGUCCCUGACCUCUCAGUGUCUUACAUUUUGCUCUGUAUAUACUGUUAAUUUUUUUUGCCCAAUUAGUUCUCGUUCAUUCACUAUUAGUUCUCGUUCAUUCACUAUUAGUUCUCGUUCAUUCACUAUUAGUUCUCGUUCAUUCACUAUUAGUUCUCGUUCAUUCACUAUUAGUUCUCGUUCAUUCACUAUUAGUUCUCGUUCAUUCACUAUUAGUUCUCGUUCAUUCACUAUUAGUUCUCGUUCAUUCACUAUUAGUUCUCGUUCAUUCACUAUUAGUUCUCGUUCAUUCACUAUUAGUUCUCGUUCAUUCACUAUUAGUUCUCGUUCAUUCACUAUUAGUUCUUUUGUUAGUCUUGUUUUUUUAGGGUUAAAAUAAAUUGUAGAAAUUCAUUCAAAUUCCCUUUUAGCAUGCCCCAUGAUCUAUGAGCAAGGUAUUGAGUGGCUACACCUUUUUCAUAAUUUGGUCUCUAUGUGUUUUUUUCUGCUUGUAAAGGAUUUGUAUUCAGUGAGGCGUUGUUUGAAAUUAGUAGCAGCAGAAGUUGGAUAAUUUUUUAAGAUGGGAAAUGAGGGCGCUGGAUUCCUUUUACUUGUAGUUUUAACAUCUAGUCUCCAGGGUAUGGUAGUUAAUUCAGUGUUUGGUUUCAGUUGGUUGUGGAGCUUCAUCACUUUAGGAUCAUUGUGCCAUUGUUAUCAUGAUAAAGUUUUUCUGUGGUUUUAGCUUCAUGUUCGAGUUUUGGUCACAUUUUAAGUAUUUUUCUCAUUUUGAUUUUCGCGUAGUUGCUUUGUCAUAUAUUAUGUUCAGAUUGUGUUAGUCAUAGUUGCCAUAUAAUUGAGUUUAGAUUUUGCAUUCUUUGUCUUUGGGCUGUUUUGUUCUCUGUUGCCCUUAAAGUAUGUGUCUGAACUUUUAUAGUCUCUUCAAUUGUAUAUAGUUUUCGUGUGUACUUUUUAUUUGUUGGUUUUUGGUUAAGUUGUAGAAUGAUUUUAGUGUAACAGUGAAUGAUGAUACAUGCACUGGGCUCUGAGCAGUCUUUGCUGCACAUUUGAUGGAUAAGUGUGGCCUAGAAAACCAUGUCUGACAUCUCCAAUUUGGUGUUUUUUGAUAGAAUACCUGGGCCAAGUAAAUGUGUGAAUUUAAAUGGGCUUUGAAAAUUUUCUAAUGUAACUUAUGUUUAUGUGUCUAGUCUUAUCCUGAAUGUGUUGUGUUUUAUGAGCAUCUUCUGUCAAAUUUAUGUUUUUUAUAUCUUCUGAGCAUCUUAUCUUGCUAUAAUUAUGCUGUAACCUAAAUGAAUUAUUAAUUAUUGUCUCGUCAGGUCUUCAAAGUGCAUUAAUUUUCUUGCGUUUUUUUGUUCUCUGAGCUGUCAUUGAAAAAAAUGGUUCAAACUCCUUCAUGUUCCUAUUGCUACCCAAUGAUGCACAAAACAGUUAAGAGUGGAGAAUUGGGUUUGUUCAUAGCCAGUACUGCACAAUUCUCUCUUUCUCUCUGCCCCUUUGUGGGUGCUGGUGUGCGUGUGGACGAGUGUGUCCAUACAUAUAGUUAUAUAUUCAAUGGUGCAAGAAGGCUUUGAAGGAAAAUAAGGUUACGAGCUACAGACGAUUCUUGAUUAGCUAUGAGCUUUACAUAUCCAAUUUGAUCACCUUUUGAGUGAGUUUAGGUUUGAAUGCUUUUUGAUAUUAAUGUAUGAUUUGUUAAUUCUGUGUUAAAUUUGUUGAAUUUUAAUUUUAAUAUCAUAACUUGUCUGUUUUCUAAACUAUGAAUACUAUUGUAAAUUUAAUGGUGCAAGAAAGCUUUGAAUGGAAAUAAGUUUACGAGCUACAGAUGAUUCUUUUUUUUAGCUAUGAGAUUUACAUAUCCAAUUUGAUCACCUUUUGAGUGAGUUAAUGGUUUGUAUAUUUUUUGAUAUUAAUGUAUGAUUUGGUAAUUCUGUG
rnacentral:lncRNA from 1 species